rnacentral:lncRNA from 1 species
UACAUCCUCUGGCCGGAUCAGUUUCGCUGCUCACCAAUGCAGCGACCACAUAUACCUGUACAGUGACUUCCACACCUGUGAUUCUGUGUCCAUCAGCCAUCCUCUCGUCCCUACAGUUGCCUCCUCCACCUGUCGUCACCAUCUUAGUGAGUGUGUCGUUGGGUAAGGACUCGGGAGAUGGUAAGUGUGUGGAGAUGUGUGGGCGUGGUGUGGGUGGUGUGGGUUGCUACGUGUCGGGGGUUCUUGUGGGGCGAGAGUGAGGAGGUGGAUCUGUGUGCUGAGGUGUGUCAUUGUCCAGAACAUCUCACCCACAAACACAAGAUUCCCAUCAACUGUCGGGACGCUAACAUCACCCUCCUCCCAGAUGGCGUGAAGGUGCCUAAGCAGUAAUUUCAGCUGUGGAC